GCUAUGGGUCUGCUAUGGGGCACCAAACCCCCCCCCACACCUGCUAUGGGGCAGCCAUGGGUCCGCUAUAGGGCACUAUGGGGCAGUUAUGGGACCCCCAACACCCUCCCCAGGGUGCUAUGGGGCAGUUUUGGGACCCCAAAGCCCCCCCAGGGCGCUAUGGGUCCGCUAUGGGUCCGCUAUGGGUCCGCUAUGGGGCAGCCAUGGGACACUAUAGGGCAGCUAUGGGGCACCAAGACCCCCCCCACUCUCCCUAUGGGGCACUAUGGGGCAGUGAUGGGGCACCAAGACCCCCCCACAGGGUGCUAUGGGGCAGUUAUGGGACCCCCAACACCCUCCCCAGGGUGCUAUGGGGCAGUUUUGGGACCCCAAAGCCCCCCCAGGGCGCUAUGGGUCCGCUAUGGGUCCGCUAUGGGUCCGCUAUGGGGCAGCCAUGGGACACUAUAGGGCAGCUAUGGGGCACCAAGACCCCCCCCACUCUCCCUAUGGGGCACUAUGGGGCAGUGAUGGGGCCCCCCGCCCCCCCCCCCGGGCCCUAUGGGUCCGCUAUGGGGCGCUAUGGGGCAGCUAUGGGUCUGCUAUGGGUCCGGCCCUCACUCCCCGGGGGGCACGGGCAGGGGGGGCCCUCGGGGGUCGUCGAAGCGAUCCAUGGGGCGCAGCCCCAGCAGCAGGGCCCCCCCCCCUGCGCCAGCGCCGCCAGCAGCAGCCCCCCCACCACCAG
rnacentral:lncRNA from 1 species